AAUAACAGGAAAGCUCUAUAAAUUCUGGAAGCACAAGGCUUCAAGGUUACUCUGAAGCAUUCUCUCUCUCUCUCUCUCUCUCUCUCUCUCUCUCUCUCUCUCUCUCUCUGGUAUAAAAAAGCCUUGGAUUUGGCUUCUCUCUCAAGAAAAGAAAAGCAGAGAAAGCUUAUAAUAGCUUUACACAGAAAUCAAUCAAAAUAAGCAUCAAUGGCAACUGACCACGAAGAAGAUAUCAAGGAUGAGAAGAAUCCCCGCCCCCUCGACGAGGAUGACAUCGCCCUCCUCAAAACCUAUGGUUUGGGACCUUAUUCCACAAGUAUAAAAAAAGUAGAGAAGGAAAUAAAAGAUAUGGCAAAGAAAGUCAACGAUUUAUGUGGUAUCAAGGAGUCAGACACUGGUUUGGCU